GAUGAACGCUGGCGGCGUGCCUAAUACAUGCAAGUCGAGCGAACGGACGAGAAGCUUGCUUCUCUGAUUUUAGCGGCGGACGGGUGAGUAACACGUGGAUAACCUACCUAUAAGACUGGGAUAACUUCGGGAAACCGGAGCUAAUACCGGAUGAUAUUUUGAACCGCAUGGUUCAAAAGUGAAAGACGGUCUUGCUGUCACUUAUAGAUGGAUCCGCGCUGCAUUAGCUAGUUGGUAAGGUAAUGGCUUACCAAGGCAACGAUGCAUAGCCGACCUGAGAGGGUGAUCGGCCACACUGGAACUGAGACACGGUCCAGACUCCUACGGGAGGCAGCAGUAGGGAAUCUUCCGCAAUGGGCGAAAGCCUGACGGAGCAACGCCGCGUGAGUGAUGAAGGUCUUCGGAUCGUAAAACUCUGUUAUUAGGGAAGAACAUAUGUGUAAGUAACUGUGCACAUCUUGACGGUACCUAAUCAGAAAGCCACGGCUAACUACGUG
rnacentral:rRNA from 1 species